UACGUAGGGUGCAAGCGUUAAUCGGAAUUACUGGGCGUAAAGCGUGCGCAGGCGGCUUUGCAAGACAGAUGUGAAAUCCCCGGGCUCAACCUGGGAACUGCAUUUGUGACUGCAAGGCUAGAGUACGGUAGAGGGGGAUGGAAUUCCGCGUGUAGCAGUGAAAUGCGUAGAUAUGCGGAGGAACACCGAUGGCGAAGGCAAUCCCCUGGACCUGUACUGACGCUCAUGCACGAGAGCGUGGGGAGCAAACAGG
rnacentral:rRNA from 1 species